AUGUGACCGGCCUUCAUGCUUGUGCGAAGCUCCUUCGACGAGUCGAGUUGUUUUGGGAAUGCAGCUCCAAAUGGGUGGUAAAUUUCAUCUAAAGCUAAAUAUUGGCCAGAGACCGAUAGCGCACAAGUAGAGUGAUCGAAAGAUGAAAAGCACUUUGGAAAGAGAGUCAAACAGUACGUGAAAUUGUUGAAAGGGAAGCGCUUGCGACCAGACUUGCCUGCGGGCGAUCAGCCGGCAUUUGUUGCCGGUGCACUCGCCCGCAGUCAGGCCAGCAUCGGUUUGGGCGGCUGGAUAAAGUCCCUCGGAAUGUGACUCCCCUCGGGGAGUGUUAUAGCCGGAGGUGCCAUGCAGCCCGCCUGGACCGAGGACCGCGCUUCGGCUAGGAUGCUGGCGUAAUGGUCGCAAGCGACCCGUCUUGAAACACGGACCAAGGAGUCUAACAUCCAUGCGAGUGUUUGGGUGUCAAACCCAUGCGCGGAAUGAAAGUGAACGGAGGUGGAAACCCGUCAGGGUGCACCAUCGACCGAUCCUGAUGUCUUCGGAUGGAUUUGAGUAAGAGCAUGACUGUUGGGACCCGAAAGAUGGUGAACUAUGCCUGAAUAGGGUGAAGCCAGAGGAAACUCUGGUGGAGGCUCGCAGCGGUUCUGACGUGCAAAUCGAUCGUC
rnacentral:rRNA from 1 species